rnacentral:rRNA from 1 species
AACGAACGCUGGCGGCAGGCCUAACACAUGCAAGUCGAGCGCCCCGCAAGGGGAGCGGCGGACGGGUGAGUAACGCGUGGGAACGUGCCCCUUGCUACGGAAUAGCCCCGGGAAACUGGGAGUAAUACCGUAUAAGCCCUACGGGGGAAAGAUUUAUCGGCAAAGGAUCGGCCCGCGUUGGAUUAGGUAGUUGGUGGGGUAAUGGCCUACCAAGCCGACGAUCCAUAGCUGGUUUGAGAGGAUGAUCAGCCACACUGGGACUGAGACACGGCCCAGACUCCUACGGGAGGCAGCAGUGGGGAAUCCUAGACAAUGGGCGCAAGCCUGAUCUAGCCACGCCGCGUGAGCGAUGAAGGCCUUAGGGUUGUAAAGCUCUUUCGUGGGGGAAGAUAAUGACUGUACCCCAAGAAGAAGUCCCGGCUAACUCCGUGCCAGCAGCCGCCGUAAGAC